rnacentral:rRNA from 1 species
GGGAAGGAACCACAGGGAUUGCCUCAGUAACGGCGAGUGAAGCGGCAACAGCUCAAAUUUGAAAUCUGGCCUUCUGGUCCGAGUUGUAAUUUGUAGAGGAUGUUUCGAACGUGGUCCGGUCUAAGUUUCUUGGAACAGAACGUCAUAGAGGGUGAGAAUCCCGUAUGCGACUGGGUGCCUAAGUUCAUGUGAAGCUCCUUCGACGAGUCGAGUUGUUUGGGAAUGCAGCUCAAAAUGGGUGGUAAAUUUCAUCUAAAGCUAAAUAUUGGCCAGAGACCGAUAGCGCACAAGUAGAGUGAUCGAAAGAUGAAAAGCACUUUGGAAAGAGAGUUAAACAGUACGUGAAAUUGUUGAAAGGGAAGCGCUUGCAACCAGACUUGCAUGUAGUUGAUCAUCCGGUGUUCUCACCGGUGCACUCGAUUAUGUUCAGGCCAGCAUCGGUUUCGGUGGUUAGAUAAAGGCCUUGGGAAUGUAGCUUCUUUCGGGGAGUGUUAUAGCCCUCGGUGCAAUGUAGCCUACCGGGACCGAGGACCGCGCUUCGGCUAGGAUGCUGGCGUAAUGGUUGUAAGCGACCCGUCUUGAAACACGGACCAAGGAGUCUAACAUUUAUGCGAGUGUUUGGGUGUAAAACCCAUACGCGUAAUGAAAGUGAACGGAGGUGAGAACCCUUAAGGGUGCAUCAUCGACCGAUCCUGAUGUCUUCGGAUGGAUUUGAGUAAGAGCAUAACUGUUGGGACCCGAAAGAUGGUGAACUAUGCCUGAAUAGGGUGAAGCCAGAGGAAACUCUGGUGGAGGCUCGCAGCGGUUCUGACGUGCAAAUCGAUCGUCAAAUUUGGGUAUAGGGGGCGAAAGACUAAUCGAACCAUUCAAAGAGAGACAUUAAAAUCCAA